GAAUUCUGUGUCUCCCUCUUCUCCCUGCUCCUCCCCUGCUCACACUCUGUCUCCCUCUCUCUUUCUCACAAAAAUAAACCUUAAAAAAAUAAUAAAAUAAAAUUAAAAAAAAAAGAGGUGAUGGGAGGUAAGCUGUAGCCCUGAUGGCAUUCCAUCCAGCCACCAGUGUGGACUGUUCUCUCCACCCCAACCGUCAUAGCUCCUGAUCCCAGAAGCCAAUGUUCCGGAGACCAUCGGACCCCUUCCAAGCUCUAAAGGCUACAAGCCCCGGACACAUGCCUUAUUCAGUCCAGAAGCCCCCAGAGAGGGCCCGCUAAUGCUAUAAUCCCCUUUCAGAUCACAAAGUAAGAUGACCACUUGGUCCCUUGUGGGAGUUGGUGACUCUGCCGCAGAAAGACAGUGUGUGAGCUUUUGUGGUCUCCCAGCUGAGGUGUCACUUUCGAAGCUUCUGCUCCCUUUACCACGACUCACAAAAUCCCAGACUGCCGGUGGUCAGUGGGAGCGGGGGGUGCGUCGUCCUAGUUCUGUUCCCUCGUGGCUCAAGACCCUUCGGCUAACAAGUUGUUGGGACACCUGCCUGCCUUGAGUGCUAACACAGAACAGUCCUGCUGAGAGUCAGGGAUGCGCUUCCCCAAGACAGUGGACAGAAAAGGGACCAGAACUGCCCCCCUGAAUUUAGGGAAGGAAGGAACAUGUGCUAUUUGAGAUUAAUCAACACAACAGAUGCAGAGUCUACUGUCCGUCUGUCAACAGCCUCCAGCCUUUGGAGACAGUGACGUUCCCAGUCAUGAGAAGGAUCUAUGGGGAAAUACACUUUCCUAAGUGCAGACUUUUUUUUUUUUUUUUUUUUUUUUUUUUUUUGUAAGCCACCAGUGCAUCAAGAAAUCCAGCCUAUCAGCCCUAUUUCCACACUGGAUGGUGUGUUUCCCUUCAGUUGCGGAGUCCAGACAACUACUUCAGAACGUAACUAGUGGAAGCAUCGUUGUGUGUGUACACAACAGUCUCCUUCCAAGUGGUUACUUGCCUCUGGCCUGGUUAAAGCCCAUCUUCGGAGAGCCGUUUAGGAAUAUGCCUGACCGCUUCUAAAAGCAGAGAGCAUUCUGGUUAAUGUGGAUAUUCUCUCAGGGAAACCAUCACAGUUUUUGGCUGACCAACUGGCCAAUGUAAAUGUGAUCCUCAAACGACAAGGGACUGACAGAAGAAUCAGUCAACAAGUAGAUUUCGAACCUCCUCAGCACGGUGCUUGGGGUAGGCUAAAGUCGAAAUCGUCACCACCUCCCCCUCCUGUUCCAGUUGGUGGACGAAGCAGUAAGGAUGGCCGUCACAGAAUUUACUGAGCACUUCCCACGCCGUCAGGCACCAUACUGAGAGCCCUUUACAUUUACACCCAUUACUUCCUUCGGUCCUGACGCUCAUUUUACAGAGAAAGCGGAGGCAGAGAGCCUGGGAACCUGCCCGAGGUCACAGAAGCGGUGUGGACGAAGCUGUGAUGGGAACCCAGGCCGUCUGACUCCAGAGCCGGUAUUCCUGCCCACCACACUCUACAGCACCCACCACCCUGGAGCUCCGAUUCUGCCCUUUCUCCAAAAGCGAGCACAUCUUGGAGGGUGGACGCCAAAUUCCAGAGAAGCCCACCUCAGCCACUGGAGGCCGGCAGGAACAGCUCCAGCACCAGCAAACGAUCAGAACAAGAAGAAGGAAGAAGGGAGAAUUCAGAGCCUGGGUGAGUCAGAGAACACCGAGCGUUUCAGAUGACCCAGCCCAGCCGCUUCACUCCCGGCCUGUGGCCUCCCCAAGGGUUCAGCCUUCCUCCAAAGAGGCACUUCCCCUGCCAGCACCGGUGCUUCUGGUGCUACAAACCAAACUGGGGGCCAGGAAACUACAAUCUGGGCGCCAAACCCAGCCCAUUACCUGUUUCCGUACAGCCCACAAAGAACGGUUAUUACGUUUUUAGAAGGGUGGAGAGGGGGAAGAAAUUACACAGUUUCAAGCUAUAAAAUUCAAGUACCAGUGACAAUAAAAUUGUAUUAGAACAUG